CACGGGGGGGAGCAAGCGUUGUUCGGAAUCACUGGGCGUAAAGGGAGUCUAGGCGGUCAGGUAAGUGGAAUGUGAAAUCCCUCGGCUCACCCGAGGACCUGCAUCCCAAACUGCCUGGCUUGAGUAUGGGAGAGGAUGAGGGAAUUCCUGGUGUAGACGGUGAAAUGCGUAGAUAUCAGGAGGAACACCGGUGGCGGAAGGCGCUCAUCUGGCCCAAUACUGACGCUGGAAGCUCGAAAGCUAGGGGAGCAAACGGG
rnacentral:rRNA from 1 species